rnacentral:rRNA from 1 species
GACGAACGCUGGCGGCGUGCUUAACACAUGCAAGUCGAACGGAAAGGCCCUGCUUUUGUGGGGUGCUCGAGUGGCGAACGGGUGAGUAACACGUGAGUAACCUGCCCUUGACUUUGGGAUAACUUCAGGAAACUGGGGCUAAUACCGGAUAGGAGCUCCUGCUGCAUGGUGGGGGUUGGAAAGUUUCGGCGGUUGGGGAUGGACUCGCGGCUUAUCAGCUUGUUGGUGGGGUAGUGGCUUACCAAGGCUUUGACGGGUAGCCGGCCUGAGAGGGUGACCGUCCACAUUGGGACUGAGAUACGGCCCAGACUCCUACGGGAGGCAGCAGUGGGGAAUAUUGCACAAUGGGCGGAAGCCUGAUGCAGCAACGCCGCGUGCGGGAUGACGGCCUUCGGGUUGUAAACCGCUUUCGCCUGUGACGAAGCGUGAGUGACGGUAAUGGGUAAAGAAGCACCGGCUAACUACGUGC